rnacentral:tRNA from 1 species
ACCCCGGUGGUGUAAUAGACAGCGUCCUGUCUGGAAAACAAAGGGUGUGGGUUCGAGUCCCGCCCGGUGCA